GCGUCCGUAGCUCAGUUGGUUAGAGUACCACCUUGACAUGGUGGGGGUCGGUGGUUCGAGUCCACUCGGACGCACCA
rnacentral:tRNA from 4 species